rnacentral:rRNA from 1 species
AGUGAACGCUGGCGGCGUGCCUAAUACAUGCAAGUCGAACGGAGUGGCGCACGGGUGAGUCAUAUAUAGCUAAUCUGCCCCUUGGUGGAGGACAACAGUUAGAAAUGACUGCUAAUACUCCAUAGCAAGGGAUGAGACUAUAUCGUAUCAGCUAGUCGGGGGGGUAACGGCCUACCGAGGCUAUGACGCGUAAAUGGUCUGAGAGGAUGAUCAGUCACAUUGGAGCGGGGACACAGUCGGAAAUCUUGCGGGAGGGAGCAGUAGGGGAUAGUGCGCAAUGGGGGAAACCAUGAAGGAGCUACGCCGCUUGGAGGAUGACACUUUUCGGAGCGUAAACUCCUUUUGUUAGGGAAGCGGUACCUAACGAAAAAGAACCGGCUAACUCCGUGCCAGCAGCCGCGUAAUUC